GAGUGGGUAGUUCAGUGGUAGAGCACACGUUUAGUAUGCAUGAGGUCCUGGGUUCAAUCCCCAGCACCUCCA
rnacentral:tRNA from 1 species